GCAAUAGUAGCUCAGAAAGAGCACUGGUCUUGUAAACCAGAGGCCGGAGAUUAAUCCCUCCCUACUGCU
rnacentral:tRNA from 1 species